rnacentral:rRNA from 1 species
GAUGAACGCUGGCGGCGUGCCUAAUACAUGCAAGUCGAGCGAACAGACGAGGAGCUUUCUCCUCUGACGUUAGCGGCGGACGGGUGAGUAACACGUGGAUAACCUACCUAUAAGACUGGGAUAACUUCGGGAAACCGGAGCUAAUACCGGAUAAUAUAUUGAACCGCAUGGUUCAAUAGUGAAAGACGGUUUUGCUGUCACUUAUAGAUGGAUCCGCGCCGCAUUAGCUAGUUGGUAAGGUAACGGCUUACCAAGGCAACGAUGCGUAGCCGACCUGAGAGGGUGAUCGGCCACACUGGAACUGAGACACGGUCCAGACUCCUACGGGAGGCAGCAGUAGGGAAUCUUACGCAAUGGGCGAAAGCCUGACGGAGCAACGCCGCGUGAGUGAUGAAGGUCUUCGGAUCGUAAAACUCUGUUAUUAGGGAAGAACAAAUGUGUAAGUAACUAUGCACGUCUUGACGGUACCUAAUCAGAAAGCCACGGCUAACUACGUG